rnacentral:rRNA from 1 species
AACGAACGCUGGCGGCGUGGAUAAGACAUGCAAGUCGAACGGGAACUUCAGCUGUAGCAAUACAGUUGAAGUUUUAGUGGCGAACGGGUGCGUAACACGUGGGCAAUCUGCCGAGAAGUGGGGGAUAGCUCGCCGAAAGGCGAAUUAAUACCGCAUAUGAUCAGCUAAGACAUCUUAGCGACAUCAAAGCCGGGGCAACCUGGCGCUUUUUGAGGAGCCCGCGGCCUAUCAGCUAGUUGGUGAGGUAACGGCUCACCAAGGCUAUGACGGGUAGCUGGUCUGAGAGGACGACCAGUCACACUGGAACUGAGACACGGUCCAGACACCGUACGGGUGCAGCAGUCGAGUAAUUUUUCUCAAGUGGGG